GCCCCGCUCCGCUCAGAGGCCGGGCCGGGAUUUGGCCGCGUGUCGGGUUCGGGUGGGCGCCGCAUCCAAUUUGUCGGGAGGGAUGCUGUAGGCGGAGAUGAGAGGCAGAGCUAACGGGGCUUCUGCAAUCCCUGCGUUUGCCGGGCGAGAGGCAUGGACGGCGCCCCGGCCCCGGUACUCGGCGGGAAUAGCGGUGUCAGCCCCGCUCCCGCUGACGGGCAUCCUCCGCAGAGCCGGGGCGGCCGGCACUUUUCCUGGGCACCGGCGAACGACCCCUCCCCAUGCCCCUAGCCCGACGGUAAAAACGGAACACCAGAUAAAAAAGUGGCUUUGCAGGAAUGAAGGAGCGUCAGCCCUCUUCUGGCUGCGACAACAACUUAUUUAGAUCGUGUGGAAGUUCUGCAUUUCAUAUUUGAAAUCCACUGUAAUAAACAUGACUGCUGCGUUACAGGAAGGAAAGAGCUCUGAAUCUAUUGUGCUGCUUCAGCAUCAGCUAGUCCACUUCUCUGAGUGAAUAUAAAGCAACAAUUCCUGAGGAGGCAGGAAGUCUUAAUGCACUAAAGACGUAAGCAAAGAAGCUAAAUCGCAAGUGACCAAAUCAAUUACACUUCAGAUCAGACUGCGGCAGGACUUUUUGGUUCUGAACCAGAUGGAACUAGACUCUUUGUGAAGGAGGAUCAGAUUUUUUGCAUUGAGACAGCUAUCGCGAUGUAAAAACGUACCAGAGACAAGCGUGGUUUUCCUUGAUGUAACUAGUUGAGGUAAAUCCAGGUGGCGGCACAAGCUAUCCGGAGAUAGAAAGCACUUUUAAAAUCCAAUGGAGAUAGAACAAUUUGUUUAGAAAACCUGGACAAUUUGGUUAGAAAGCCUCUGCAUGGCCCUCUGGGAGGAAGUGACUACUACAGUCAAGUGUAACAAAACCUUCUUCCUAGAUAGAGAAAAGCCAUCAUAGCCAAAGGUAAAUUCUUUGUUUCUAAUUUAGAGAAGUAUUUUGGAAAACCAAAUACUUUUAUGCUUUAAUAUAUCAAAUCAAAUUUUUUGUUUCAUCUGGCAUCUGGACCCCUCUUGAUUUGAAUAUACUACCACCACCUUCUAGGAGAGCUUUGAAAACCACUUUAGCAUUUGGCCCUAAAUAUUUAAACACGGGGAAUUCCACCUGAAAACAAGCACCUUGAAAGGACUUCUUCCUGCUAGUAUGGAGGGAAAGACUCUG